UGCAUGUCAAUCUUCUGUUGAUUCUAUUGAUCUUUCUCCACAGGAAGCUCUGUUUCCUCAUUCUGUAACUCAAGAUCAAAUUAGUUUUGUAUUACAAGAGCUGCAACCAUGGAUAUGUUAACUAUCAUUAUCCUGAUGGUUCUUUUGAGAAAAUGUCAUGGGAACACUUAUCUACACUUCCAAGAAGAAGAAGAAGAAGAAGGAGAAAUAACAAUACCAUUCCAGUGUGAACAGGGACUUUGGCAAAUUGACAUAAACAACGACAACAUAGUGGAUUAUAACUGCAGUAUUACCAAGGAAAAUAUGUGGAAAGAAUGUGAACUUAAGGACUUUAAGUUGGUUAAAAAGACAGAAGAAAAUGUAUUUCUGUUGGAAACAGACAGCAGCGCAAUCUUGGGAUGUGUUCACAAUCACACUUCAAUAUCUAUAUUUCCCUUUAUUUUGUCAAGAGACCAGGUGGAUUCCUUUAUCGUGGCAUUUACUAAACCAGAGAUGGUGAGUGGUGGGCCUGAUGUGGAAACAAAAACCAUUGUCACCAAGCGCCAAGAAGAAACAGUCGAUCUUAUAUGUAAUUUCAAAUUAACUGAUCAAUAUUCUAAAGGUUACAUUUGUGUGUACUGGAUUAAGAUCACAAAUGAAAGAAGUACAUGUAUUUAUUCAUUUUCUUUGGGCGAUUAUGGAGAACAAGAAUAUUACCGUCACUGUCCAGUUGAUGAAUCCCUGCAUAAAAGAAUGUCAAAUACUUCAUCUGCAAACAAAGAAAAUCAUUGUCUUAAAAUCAACCAAGUGACACAUUCAGACAGUGGACAGUAUGUGUGUGCCUUAUAUGUACAGGAAAAUGAGAACAAAUGGUAUGGAAAAGUGAUCUCUAAUAUCACGGUCACUGUAAAAGACAACAGCACCUCCACAAACCAGUCACAUGAUAAGAAUAACCUCAUCAUACUGUAUGUAGUGAGAGCUCUAUUGCUCUUCUGCCUCUUUGCUACUGUCAUUGUCAUGAGGAAAAAGACCAAGAAAUCCCAAGCAGAAAAUCAAAGUCUGGGAAUGAACAGAAACCAAGAUAGAGAGGAGACACUUGACUGACAAAGCAUGGUCACGAGAUGGCGCUAUUGGUCAGACGAAUAUUCAAUUAGACGAAGAUCCCAUGCUGAUCGAAUUGUUGUCUGCUGUGCGUUA
ensembl:lncRNA